UACAGAGGGUGCGAGCGUUAAUCGGAAUUACUGGGCGUAAAGCGUGCGCAGACGGUCACGUAAGUCGGGUGUGAAGGCCCCGGGCUCAACCUGGGAAUUGCAUUCGAGACUGCGUGGCUAGGGUGCGGAAGAGGGAAGCGGAAUUUCCGGUGUAGCGGUGAAAUGGCGUAGAUAUCGGAAGGAACACCAGUGGCGAAAGCGGCUUCCUGGUCCAGCACCGACGUUC
rnacentral:rRNA from 1 species